UACGUAGGAGGCAAGCGUUGUCCGGAAUUACUGGGCGUAAAGCGCGUGUAGGUGGUGGGACAAGUCUGCUGUGAAAGCGCCUGGCUUAACCGGGCGAGGUCGGCGGAAACUGUCGCACUCGAGGAUGGUAGAGGAAGGUGGAAUUCCCGGUGUAGCAGUGAAAUGCGUAGAGAUCGGGAGGAACACCAGUGGCGAAGGCGGCCUUCUGGACCAAUACUGACGCUCAUGCACGAAAGCGUGGGGAGCAAACAGG
rnacentral:rRNA from 1 species